rnacentral:rRNA from 1 species
CUGAUCCAGCCAUGCCGCGUGUGUGAAGAAGGCCUUCGGGUUGUAAAGCACUUUUAGCGGGGAGGAAGGGUCUUUAUUUAAUACUUG